GGACCUUUGGUACAAACAUAUUUCAGUCAACUUUAUCUAACUCGAAAACUAUUGGGAAUACUUAUAAUGGAUAAAUUACAGUGAAAAUCAUGGAACCGAAAAGACAAUCCGAAUAUACAUAUAUAUAUAUUUGAAUUUUUCAUCAGUCGAAAAUGAUGUUCUCGUUUGAUUUCAGAUUCGAAAAAUAUGGGACAAGUUCUUGACUUGCUCAACAGUACUAGUGUGGUAAAAUUAAAUAGACGAAUCGUUGAGAAAUAAACCACUUCCCGUAUUUCAAACAUGAAUCUAUCAACAUUAAAAUCUAUAAACAUCUAACUAUCGCAACAGGUACAGUGUAGUGACACACAGUCCGACUGAUAAAGCAAGUCCUGCAAGAAAUAAAAAAUGCACGCUGAUCUAAGGGGCUUGUGUUUGAAACAGCAAUGUCAUACCUGUAAUGUAUAGACCCUGGUGAGACCGAGAGACUUUUCGAUACCGUCGGGUAGAUACGGGUCGUAGAACAUGACAAUAAAACCAAAAGCUUUGGCACGGAGAGCUACCGCCGAGCCAAUCCUUCCUAGACCUACAAUACCCAAAGUGUCGCCUCGUAUCCUAGCGCAGCCUUGUGCCGCUUCUCUGACCUGCAAUUCGAACGGAACGGAUUUUCAAUAAUUAUGAAAAAAAUAUGAAAUACACAAAGAUGAGAGAAUACUUUCUAAUUUCGAUUUUUUAUUUUAAAUGACGAAUUAGCAAGUUCUGUAAUACACGCUUAAUUAGAAACCGAAAAAACUAUAAUGCGAUGCUAAAUUGAUGAUUAUGACGGAUAAACAAAAAUAAAACCUGUUUCCUUGUUUUA